CUGCACCCUCAUUUAAAAUAUUUCAUCUGAGAAAGGAAAGGUGAUCACUCCACGCUCACCUCAGGUCUCCUUUCCCAGAUAGACUUCCUUUUCUUACAGUUGAAAACUAAAUACACAGUCCUGGGGACCAGCUCAGUUUCCAGAAGUUGGUUCUCCCGAUGUCCCUGACACUAGCAGGUUUAAUUCAAAGUAUAGAAGGCGACCUCCGUAGGUGUGUGGUCAUUGUGGAAAGAACGGAAGAGACCAUUUAGGUCACUCUGCAUGUUAGCGAAGUUGAAAACCAAGCCAGUAAGCAGUGAGUGAUUUGAUGAAGCAGUGCUUCAGGUGUCUGCCUCUUUGAGUUCGCUGAAAAGUUGGAUCUUACAUAUUUAGCACCUGAAACAACCGAAGGCUUACGGAGGACACUGACAGACUGGGGCGAGGAGGGUCUCUGCCUCCCCUGAAGACCUGGACCACCCUCCACACCUGGGCAAGUGCUGCAGCGGUGCCUGCUAUUAGAGUUAAGCAGCAAGGGCAGCGACACCUGGGAUGUAAAAAAAAAAUAAUUAUAAAUAAAUAAACACUAGCAAACUACCUGUUAGUUUCUACCUGUGAGGACCUAAGAAGACUAAACAAACAGCUCCUUAAUUUCUGGACUUUCCCUUGGAUCACAGAAGGAGACCCUGGGAAUUUUCUGAUUCCUUCUUUCCUUUUUUUCUUUUCUUUUUUUUUUCGGUCUUAAUGGAGAUCUUGAACUGCAGAGCCGCCGUGUCAGAACUCAGAUGGUUAACAUUCACUUCUUGCUGUUUUAUUGCAUAUUACUGUGCGCGCCUGAGCAGCGGGAGCAGAUUCGGGCAAUUACAAUCAAGUCAGGGCACACGCCGCGGCGGAGCAACACGAGCAUGAUGAGGAUACUGAUGAGGCACUUAUCGAAAACCCCACAUCAUCCACACUCAUCAGCCACAACAUGUCACCCCAAAUGAGGCAUCAGCUGCCUUCAAAAGGCUCAUUGCACAGUGUUUACCGCUUCCCUCGGACCCACUUUUGAUUUUACGACAUGUUGAACUGCAAGAUUCCACUCGCGACGCCAGAAUUCGUCAAGAGGCCUGCAUUGUUGUUUCGCACUGAGGCAUAGGACCGGCUACAGGCCAUUGUUUCUCCAGCUCAAGUGGGCCUGUCUGGUUCGUGUUGGAAGAAUGAGGGUGACAUGCGUGAGUUCCCGAGUAUAAAAGAACUACUGGUUCUAGGAAGGAACAGGAGGUUAGCCACUAAUGCAGAGUAAAUAAACAUUUUUC
rnacentral:lncRNA from 1 species